CAGUAGCCACGGUAAAACGAAGGGUGCAAGCGUUAAUCGGAAUUACUGGGCGUAAAGCGUGCGUAGGCGGUUUGUUAAGUCUGCUGUGAAAUCCCCGGGCUCAACCUGGGAAUGGCAGUGGAUACUGGCAAGCUAGAGUGUGUCAGAGGAUGGUGGAAUUCCCGGUGUAGCGGUGAAAUGCGUAGAGAUCGGGAGGAACAUCAGUGGCGAAGGCGGCCAUCUGGGACAACACUGACGCUGAGGCACGAAAGCGUGGGGAGCAAGCAGGAUUAGAUACCCCUGUAGUCCCUGUCUCUUAUAA
rnacentral:rRNA from 1 species